rnacentral:rRNA from 1 species
UACGGAGGGUGCAAGCGUUGUUCGGAAUCACUGAGCGUAAAGCGCGUGUAGGCGGCUUGGCAAGUCGGUUGUGAAAUCCCGGGGCCCAACCCCGGAACUGCAAUCGAAACUGCCUCGCUAGAGUCCCGGAGAGGAAGGCGGAAUUCCCGGUGUAGAGGUGAAAUUCGUAGAUAUCGGGAGGAACACCAGUGGCGAAGGAGGCCUUCGGGACGGUGAAUGACGCUGAGACGCGAAAGCGUGGGGAGCAAACAGG